UAGAUUUAUAUAAAAUUUUGUAAAUUUGUCUUUAGUCAAUAAUAAUUAGAAAAUGAUAAAUUCAAUUUUAAUAUAUUUUAAUUAAAAUAUUUUGAAUUGGGUUAAAAUUACAUGAAAUUGAAUUUAGAAUAUUUUAUUUAAGAUAUUUUGGAUUUGAUUUUACGUAACUUUAAAAUAGAGAAUUUGCAUUCCCUACCUACACGUUUAUGCAUAAUUAGCGAUAUACCAAAAAUCACUAUUAUACACUGUACAUUUUCUUUAAUGUCUCUGCUGCCCUUAUUACUUCUACCUAUCAUAGACUCCAUAUUAUGUAUCUUCUCUCUCUUCACAAAUUCAAUUUCUCUGCAAAUCUCAAUACACACAAACCCUAAGUUACUCCACUGUUCUACAAAUGUAAAUCGUCGGUUAAGAUUCACAACACAUUAUUAUCUUCUAACCACGUCUUCAGAAUCUUCCACCGAGUCUGCGCCGCGAAUCUGAUCCUCCGAUCCUGGCCGACUCGUCCCUCUGACCACCACCUCCGCACAGAUUCUGAGCCUAUACAAGCAUCGUCGGAGGGAGAGUGGCGGUUGCUGGAGACUGCAUUUUGGAGAUCUGGGAGGAGAUUAACGUAAUUUUACACCUUCAUUUAAUACUGUAGACUGCAAACUUUUACUGUUAUUACAUUUAUCUAAUUACUAACUUUUUUGGGUUUUCAACCAAUUGACUCUUUAAAAUAUCCAUAAUUAAAUAUUUAUAUUUAUAUAUAUGUACACAUAUAUAUUUGAGAAAUUGUAACAAAUACCACUUUUCAUGUUUACACUAACCACUUUUAUCUUCAUUUUUAAUAAAGGGUAAAAAACAUUUAUAAACCUAAGGUUAACUAACCUAGAUUUAGAGUUUAGAGUUCAGAGUUGAGAGAUGUGAUAUGGUUUGUAGAAUGUGAAAUUUAGGAUUCUUAUAAAUAUAUAAAUAAAUACUUAAAAAUUUAUUAAAAAAA